UGGGUAGAGGUGCGAUACUUAAGAGUACUAUUAAUGAGAUAAGCACUAUGAAUUAAUAGGAAAGGAAUUAUCGCCGAAGCAUAUGAUUGAAGCUUUAAUAUCAUAUAGCUGGGGUUACAUAGAAUAUAUGUAUCACUGUCACAAAGUUAAUUUGUGGGGAGCUAUCA
rnacentral:ncRNA from 1 species